GCCGGGCAUGGUGGCUCAUGCCUGUAAUCCCAGCACUUUGGGAGGCUGAGGCAGGUGGAUCACUUGAGGCCAGGAGUUUGAGACCAGCCUGGCCUACAUGGUGAAACCCCGUCUCUA
rnacentral:SRP_RNA from 1 species